AUUUAUAUAGUACAAAUAGUAUAUUUAACUUCCAAUUAAAUGAUCUAAUUUCUUUUAGUAUAAAUA
rnacentral:tRNA from 1 species